rnacentral:rRNA from 1 species
GCCCCCAUAAAAGAUGGGUUUGAUGGAGCUGGGGUGUAAGCUGGAAGACUUCGGUCGACCAGCUCAGCCUGCAGCCCCCAAUCGCUUAAGGUGUUGGGCUA